CCUAUUUCCUGACUUCUGUCUCAGUCUCUUCCUAUGUUUUCAAGGAGCAAGACUAGCAUCACAAGCGUGAGUUUUGGAGUCAAAGGUCAGAAGUUGUCCUGUCUGAGGACAAGAGCUGCACCAGAUGACUUCUCAAGAUCCCUUUGACCCUUAUGAUUGUCUACUGGCAUAAAUAUAAGGGUUUGUUCA